rnacentral:rRNA from 1 species
AGAGUUUGAUCCUGGCUCAGGACGAACGCUGGCGGCGUGCUUAACACAUGCAAGUCGAACGAUGAUGCCCAGCUUGCUGGGUGGAUUAGUGGCGAACGGGUGAGUAACACGUGAGUAACCUGCCCCUGACUCUGGGAUAAGCGUUGGAAACGACGUCUAAUACUGGAUAUGAUCACUGGCCGCAUGGUCUGGUGGUGGAAAGAUUUUUUGGUUGGGGAUGGACUCGCGGCCUAUCAGCUUGUUGGUGAGGUAAUGGCUCACCAAGGCGACGACGGGUAGCCGGCCUGAGAGGGUGACCGGCCACACUGGGACUGAGACACGGCCCAGACUCCUACGGGAGGCAGCAGUGGGGAAUAUUGCACAAUGGGCGAAAGCCUGAUGCAGCAACGCCGCGUGAGGGAUGACGGCCUUCGGGUUGUAAACCUCUUUUAGUAGGGAAGAAGCGAAAGUGACGGUACCUGCAGAAAAAGCACCGGCUAACUACGUG